UGGGGAAUAUUGGACAAUGGGCGAAAGCCUGAUCCAGCCAUGCCGCGUGAGUGACGAAGGCCUUAGGGUUGUAAAACUCUUUCGUCGGGGACGAUAAUGACGGUACCCGAAGAAGAAGCUCCGGCUAACUUCGUGCCAGCAGCCGCGGUAAUACGAAGGGAGCUAGCGUUGUUCGGAAUCACUGGGCGUAAAGCGCACGUAGGCGGAUAGUUAAGUCAGGGGUGAAAUCCUGGGGCUCAACCCCAGAACUGCCUUUGAUACUGGCUGUCUCGAGGUCGAGAGAGGUUGGUGGAAUUCCUAGUGUAGAGGUGAAAUUCGUAGAUAUUAGGAAGAACACCAGUGGCGAAGGCGGCUCACUGGAUCGGUACUGACGCUGAGGUGCGAAAGCGUGGGGAGCAAACAGGAUUAGAUACCCUUGUAGUCCCUGAGCGGGCUGGCAAGGCGCAU
rnacentral:rRNA from 1 species